AUGGAAAUCACGAGCAGCAUGAUGGUGAAGCCGGUGCCGCACCCGCUCGUCGGCGAGAAGGUGGCACUGACCAUCUUCGACCGCGCUGCGGCGGACGUCUUCGUCCCCACCGUGUUCGCCUACCUUGCGCCGGCGCCGUCGAACGAGGCGCUCAAGGAAGGCCUUCUCAAGGCCGUCGCGCCGUACCCCCACCUGGCGGGGCGCCUCACGGUCGACCAGCUCGGCCGGCGCUUCCUCCACGUCAACAAUGAGGGCGUGAUCCUGAUUGAGACCACGGUACAAGCUAACCUGGCGGACGUGCUCGUCGAAGGCCGGAUGCUCACCAGAGUCGACCACCUCUACCCUACAAUACCACAACGAGAGGAGAAGAUUGGAGCGGCGCUGCUGCAGAUCCAGCUGAACAGGUACAAGUGCGGUGGUCUCGUGGUCGGGAUAUGCUCCCACCACCAUACCGCCGACGGUCACUCCAUGAGCAUGUUCUUCACCGCGUGGGCGACAGCGGUCCGAGAGGGUGAGGACUUCACCAUGCCAACCCCAUUCCUCGACCGCGCGAAAACCGUCGUGCCGAGGAGCACGCCGACGCCGGUGUUCGACCACCGGUCACUGGAGUUCACGCAUGGGGACGGUGCUGCAGAAUACGCCGUCAUUCCCAUGGACAGGAUCCAAAAUCUCAGGAUGCAUUUCACGGCCGAGUUCGUCGCCGAUCUCAAAGCCCGUGUGGGCGCCCGCUGCAGCACGUUCCAGUGCCUGCUCGCGCACGUCUGGAAGAAGAUCACCGCGGCACGGUGCCUGAAACCGGAGGAGUUCACCAAGGUGAGGGUGGCCGUGAACUGCAGGGGUAGGGCCGACCCUCCUGUGCCGAUGAACUUCUUCGGCAACAUGGUUUUGUGGGCAUUCCCAAGGCUUCAGGUCCGGGACGUGUUGAACUCGAGCUACGGCAGCGUGGUCGACACCAUCCGCGACGCCGUGGCAUGCAUCGACAGGGAGUACGUGCAGUCCUUCGUGGACUUUGGCGGAGUGGCUGACGCGAACGGGAAGGAGCUUAUCACGACGGCGGCCCCUGCCGGCUCGAUGUUCUCCCCGGACGCAGAGGUGGACAGUUGGCUGGGGUUCCGUUUCCAUCAGCUCGACUUUGGCACCGGCGCGCCUGCUGCUCUGCUGCUGCCGGACUUGCCCGUCGAGGGGCUCAUGCUCUUCGUGCCGUCAGGAAAGGCGAACGGCGGCAUCGACCUCUUCAUGGCCAUCGCGGAGGAACACCUCACCGUGUUUAAGCAGAUCUGUUACUCCUUGGAUUGA
rnacentral:rRNA from 1 species